rnacentral:rRNA from 1 species
ACGAACGCUGGCGGCGUGCUUAAUACAUGCAAGUCGAACGGAAAGACCCUGCUUUUGUGGGGUGCUCGAGUGGCGAACGGGUGAGUAACACGUGAGUAACCUGCCCUUGACUUUGGGAUAACUUCAGGAAACUGGGGCUAAUACCGGAUAGGAGCUCCUGCUGCAUGGUGGGGGUUGGAAAGUUUCGGCGGUUGGGGAUGGACUCGCGGCUUAUCAGCUUGUUGGUGGGGUAGUGGCUUACCAAGGCUUUGACGGGUAGCCGGCCUGAGAGGGUGACCGGCCACAUUGGGACUGAGAUACGGCCCAGACUCCUACGGGAGGCAGCAGUGGGGAAUAUUGCACAAUGGGCGGAAGCCUGAUGCAGCAACGCCGCGUGCGGGAUGACGGCCUUCGGGUUGUAAACCGCUUUCGCCUGUGACGAAGCGUGAGUGACGGUAAUGGGUAAAGAAGCACCGGCUAACUACGUG